GUGGGGAAUAUUGGACAAUGGGCGAAAGCCUGAUCCAGCCAUGCCGCGUGUGUGAAGAAGGUCUUCGGAUUGUAAAGCACUUUAAGUUGGGAGGAAGGGCAGUAAGUUAAUACCUUGCUGUUUUGACGUUACCGACAGAAUAAGCACCGGCUAACUUCGUGCCAGCAGCCGCGGUAAUACGAAGGGUGCAAGCGUUAAUCGGAAUUACUGGGCGUAAAGCGCGCGUAGGUGGUUUUGUAAGUUGGAGGUGAAAUCCCCGGGCUCAACCUGGGAACUGCCUCCAAAACUACAUGACUAGAGUACGGUAGAGGGUAGUGGAAUUUCCUGUGUAGCGGUGAAAUGCGUAGAUAUAGGAAGGAACACCAGUGGCGAAGGCGACUACCUGGACUGAUACUGACACUGAGGUGCGAAAGCGUGGGGAGCAAACAGGAUUAGAAACCCCGGUAGUCC
rnacentral:rRNA from 1 species